AGACUAAGAUCAACGGACGAGAUCUUCCUGGUCGCCUUUAAAGUCAUUACUCUCUGCAACGUUUGUGAGAAGAAAGAAACAUUACUUGCGACCAAAAAUUACAGAUUCUUGAAACUAUUAGUGUUGAUACUUGAUAGAUACCAUGGGCUUACUAGAUCAUCUCUGGGAUGAUACCGUCGCUGGUCCUAGGCCAGAGAACGGCCUUGGCAAGCUUCGGAGACACCAUACCUUCAGUUUCCGGCCUAGCUCCGGUAAUGAUCAAUCGGACGGUGGAAGCGUGAGAUCGUACGGUGAAGAAUCACCGGAGGAGGCCGUGAAAGUGACACGUAGCAUCAUGAUAAUAAAACCACCGGGAUACCAAGGCGGUUCAGCUCCGGUUUCACCAGCCGGUUCAACUCCGCCAGUAUCUCCUUUCUCUGCAUGAUCCUUGAUAAGAUGAGAUGUGACACAGUGAACUCCAUCUAUGAUAUCACUGAUUAUUAUUGCCCCUUGAUUGAUAUAUUUGUUAGCAAACGCAGGAGGAAAGGAACCCUUUCGGUUUAGGAGAAGGUCGACGUCGGACGCGUUCGAUAAGGGAGCAGGAUCAGAGAAUGGACCAAGGAACUCUCCUCCUACUUACGGCCUGUGAUCUAUAACUCAAAUCUCAAUAGGGAGAGAGAAAAGAAGAAGAGUAGCCCCCAAAACGCUUUCGAUCAAGUGGUCCUUGCAUGCAGAGUUCGUGUUGCUUCCGUUUGUAGGCCAAAGAGGUUCUCUCUUUUGUGUGCGUGUAUGAGUUUGUUUUGUGUGUUUGUGGUUACGUCUAUGUUUUUGUUUUUGUAUGUCAUCUCGUUUUGGGAAUGCUUCUACGUGUCUGUACAUAUUUUGCUGCAAUGAUAAUAAAAAUGUGUAGAUGCUUAACAUCA